AGGUCAAACGGGUGUAUCAAUUGGCAAUUCUGCGGGUCCUAUAGCACGGAGAUCAACCCCGAUGCCAGUUUGUACACAUUGUGGGAAGAACCACAGAGGAAAGUGUAGAUUGCUAACGGGUGGAUGUUUCAGAUGUGGGUCCACAGAGCAUUUUUUGAGAGAUUGCCCACGGAGGAGUGCUCCCACAGCUCGACCAUAGACUCAGAGGUCUGCCCCCACAGUACAGAGGGGUAGAAGACCAAUGAGACCAGAGAUAGCUGGUACAUCACAGAGAGCUUCUGAGACUAUAGAACAACCCGAGGUUGAAGUAGCACCCUGUGUGUACACUAUGGCUCGAGAGGAGCCAGACCUAGUAGACGUUGUUAGAGGUACUGAAGAUCAGCAGCCGCCACAGUAGUAUUCGAACAGAGUUUCGACCAGAUCUGCCACCUAUCAGAGUCACCUCACCAGUCUUUUGUAUUUUGGUAGGGCCCAUGUGUAGACUAGUAUUUUGGUUCAUUAUGUCUAGUCAUGAUGUAAUUACUAGUUUAUGAUGUAUUUUAUUUUGGACUUGAAAUGAAAACUUAUAAUUUAUUAUCUAUGAAUUUCCAUAUGAAUGCAAUA